UGAUGGCGAGUGGCGGACGGGUGAGUAACACGUAGGAAUCUGCCCAACAGAGGGGGACAACCCGGAGAAAUCCGGGCUAAUACCGCAUACGCCCUACGGGGGAAAGCGGGGGAUCUUCGGACCUCGUGCUGUUGGAGGAGCCUGCGUCGGAUUAGCUUGUUGGUGAGGUAA
rnacentral:rRNA from 1 species